ACGAACGCUGGCGGCACGCUUAACACAUGCAAGUCGAACGAGAGAAGAGAAGCUUGCUUUUCUGAUCUAGUGGCGGACGGGUGAGUAACACGUGAGCAAUCUGCCUUUCAGAGGGGGAUACCGAUUGGAAACGAUCGUUAAUACCGCAUAACAUAAUUGAACCGCAUGAUUUGAUUAUCAAAGAUUUAUCGCUGAAAGAUGAGCUCGCGUCUGAUUAGCUAGUUGGUAAGGUAACGGCUUACCAAGGCGACGAUCAGUAGCCGGACUGAGAGGUUGAUCGGCCACAUUGGGACUGAGACACGGCCCAGACUCCUACGGGAGGCAGCAGUGGGGAAUAUUGCACAAUGGAGGAAACUCUGAUGCAGCGAUGCCGCGUGAGGGAAGAAGGUUUUAGGAUUGUAAACCUCUGUCUUCAGGGACGAAAAAAGACGGUACCUGAGGAGGAAGCUCCGGCUAACUACGUGCCAGCAGCCGCGGUAAUACGUAGGGAGCGAGCGUUGUCCGGAAUUACUGGGUGUAAAGGGAGCGUAGGCGGGAUCGCAAGUCAGAUGUGAAAACUAUGGGCUUAACCCAUAAACUGCAUUUGAAACUGUGGUUCUUGAGUGAAGUAGAGGUAAGCGGAAUUCCUAGUGUAGCGGUGAAAUGCGUAGAUAUUAGGAGGAACAUCAGUGGCGAAGGCGGCUUACUGGGCUUUAACUGACGCUGAGGCUCGAAAGCGUGGGGAGCAAACAGGAUUAGAUACCCUGGUAGUCCACGCCGUAAACGAUGAUUACUAGGUGUGGGGGGACUGACCCCUUCCGUGCCGCAGCAAACGCAAUAAGUAAUCCACCUGGGGAGUACGACCGCAAGGUUGAAACUCAAAGGAAUUGACGGGGGCCCGCACAAGCAGUGGAGUAUGUGGAUUAAUUCGAAGCAACGCGAUGAACCUUACCAGGUCUUGACAUCGUAUGCAUAGCUCAGAGAUGAGUGAAAUCUCUUCGGAGACAUAUAGACAGGUGGUGCAUGGUUGUCGUCAGCUCGUGUCGUGAGAUGUUGGGUUAAGUCCCGCAACGAGCGCAACCCUUACUGUUAGUUGCUACGCAAGAGCACUCUAGCAGGACUGCCGUUGACAAAACGGAGGAAGGUGGGGAUGACGUCAAAUCAUCAUGCCCCUUAUGACCUGGGCCUCACACGUACUACAAUGGCUGUCAACAGAGGGAAGCAAAGCCGCGAGGUGGAGCAAACCCCUAAAAGCAGUCUUAGUUCGGAUUGUAGGCUGCAACCCGCCUACAUGAAGUCGGAAUUGCUAGUAAUCGCAGAUCAGCAUGCUGCGGUGAAUACGUUCCCGGGCCUUGUACACACCGCCCGUCACACCAUGGGAGUCGGAAAUGCCCGAAGCCAGUGACCCAACCUUUUGGAGGGAGCUGUCGAAGGUGGAGCCGGUAACUGGGGUG
rnacentral:rRNA from 1 species